rnacentral:rRNA from 1 species
UUGACAUCCAGAGAAUUUAGCAGAGAUGCUUUAGUGCCUUCGGGAACUCUGAGACAGGUGCUGCAUGGCUGUCGUCAGCUCGUGUUGUGAAAUGUUGGGUUAAGUCCGCAACGAGCGCAAACCCUUAUCCUUUGUUGCCAGCACGUAAUGGUGGGAACUCAAAGGAGACUGCCGGUGAUAAACCGGAGGAAGGUGGGGAUGACGUCAAGUCAUCAUGGCCCUUACGAGUAGGGCUACACACGUGCUACAAUGGCGUAUACAAAGAGAAGCGACCUCGCGAGAGCAAGCGGACCUCAUAAAGUGCGUCGUAGUCCGGAUUGGAGUCUGCAACUCGACUCCAUGAAGUCGGAAUCGCUAGUAAUCGUAAAUCAGAAUGUUACGGUGAAUACGUUCCCGGGCCUUGUACACACCGCCCGUCACACCAUGGGAGUGGGUUGCAAAAGAAGUAGAUAGCUUAACCUUCGGGAGGGCGUUUACCACUUUGUGAUUCAUGACUGGGGUGAAGUCGUAACAAGGUAAGCGUAGUGCU